AUGUAAUGUAAUACCUACAACAUUAAUGCAUCAGAUUCCAUUAGAAAUCUAUAGUUAAGCGUGCUUGGGUUAGAGUAUUACUGGGAUGGGUGACCUCUUAGGAAGUCCUAAUGUUUUACAUG
rfam:Picea glauca, whole genome shotgun sequence.